GGUCCUGUGAAGAGGUACAGGAUUUGGCCUGCCCAAUGAUUUAUUUAAUGGCCGCGGUAAUUUGACCGUGCAAAGGUAGCAUAAUCAUUAGUCCUUUAAUUGAGGUCUGGAAUGAAGGGUUGGACGAGGGGAGGCCUGUCUGUGAGGUGGCUUUAUUUUGAAUUUUACUUUUUAGUGAAAAGGCUGAGAUUUUCUUGGGGGACGAUAAGACCCUAUAGAUCUUUACAUUGUAGGUUGAUAAGAGUCUACUGUUGUGUUUUGUUGGGGUGACAGAAAGAUAUAAUUAACUCUUUUGUGUGGAGGUGYGUUACUUAUUAGUAUAUUGUUGAUCCUUGUGUUAGAGAUUAUUAGAUUAAGUUACCUUAGGGAUAACAGCGUAAUCCUUUUUGAGAGUUCUUAUCGACAAGAGGGGUUGCGACCUCGAUGUUGGAUUAAGAGAUCCCCAUGGUGUAGAAGCUGAGGAGGAGGGUCUGUUCGACCUUUAAUUUCUUACA
rnacentral:rRNA from 1 species